rnacentral:rRNA from 1 species
GGGGAACCAGGACUUUUACUGUGAAAAAAUUAGAGUGCUCCAGGCAGGCCUAUGCUCGAAUACAUUAGCAUGGAAUAAUAGAAUAGGACGUGUGGUUCUAUUUUGUUGGUUUCUAGGACCGCCGUAAUGAUUAAUAGGGACAGUCGGGGGCAUCAGUAUUCAAUUGUCAGAGGUGAAAUUCUUGGAUUUAUUGAAGACUAACUACUGCGAAAGCAUUUGCCAAGGAUGUUUUCAUUAAUCAGGAACAAAAGUUAGGGGAUCGAAGACGAUCAGAUACCGUCGUAGUCUUAACCAUAAACUAUGCCGACUAGGGAUCGGACGGUGUUAUUUUUUGACCCGUUCGGCACCUUACGAGAAAUCAAAGUGCUUGGGCUCCAGGGGGAGUAUGGUCGCAAGGCUUGAAACUUAAAGAAAUUGACGGAAGGGCACCACCAGGGGUGGAGCCUGCGGCUUAAUUUGACUCAACACGGGGAAACUCACCAGGUCCAGACACAAUGAGGAUUGACAGAUUGAGAGCUCUUUCUUGAUUUUGUGGGUGGUGGUGCAUGGCCGUUCUUAGUUGGUGGAGUGAUUUGUCUGCUUAAUUGCGAUAACGAACGAGACCU